rnacentral:rRNA from 1 species
CCUAGCUUGCUAGGUGGAUUAGUGGCGCACGGGUGAGUAAUAUAUAGAUAACGUGCCUCUUAGUCUGGGAUAGCCAUUGGAAACGAUGAUUAAUACUAGAUACUCCUUCUAACUCUAAUGUUAGUCGGGAAAGUUUUUCGCUAAGAGAUCGGUCUAUAUCCCAUCAGCUAGUUGGUAGUGUAAGAGACUACCAAGGCAAUGACGGGUAGCGGGUUUGAGAGGAUGAUCCGCCACACUGGUACUGAGACACGGACCAGACUCCUACGGGAGGCAGCAGUGAGGAAUAUUGCACAAUGGAGGAAACUCUGAUGCAGCAACGCCACGUGGAGGAUGACGCAUUUCGGUGUGUAAACUCCUUUUAUAUGUCAAGAAAAUGACGGUAGCACAUGAAUAAGCACCGGCUAACUCCGUGCCAGCAGCCGCGGUAAUACGGAGGGUGCAAGCGUUAUUCGGAAUCACUGGGCGUAAAGGACGCGU